CACCGAGUCAGUGAACAAGAAAAGCAGCCAGUGUGCGCACUACAGUAAGGAGACUCGUGUAACUUAGUGGACUACAGCAACCAAAUAAGAGAUGCCAUUCCAGGACAACAGGGUACUCCAGCCUAUUAAAACUUGUCCCCUAUCCACAGGAUAGAGAAUAUGUGAUCGCAGGGGUCCGACUGCUGCAACCCCCAAUCUCCUGAUUUCCAGACCUGGGUCCGAAUCAACACACACCCUCUAUGUACUCCAUGUAGAUAUGAAAACGCUGUACUUGUGCGACUCCAGUGCACCCAUAGAGAGUGCAUGGAAAUCAGGUGCCGUUUUGCAAAUCGGGGGAGUGGGGUCCCACCGGUAAAGAGCUAAAACUAAGCAUCUCUACUUUAAAAAGGUCUCCAAUUCAUGUGAAUGGGGCAGGUCCUAUCUAUUGGUCUCUAUGAUCCAUGGGGCCUGCAGUAAAGCAUAUCACUAAAUGCUGUUAAAACAGCUCAGCUGCAGUGAUUUAUAACCAGCUUUAUGGAGUUCCCAGAAAAAGACCUCAAAUAGAAGCUCUUCUAAGUAAUAGUAUAGUAAG